AGAAGGUGCGAAAGGAUUGCCAUAUAUGGAGCCUGUCAGGGGAUUUCAGUUGUUGUCACACUUCUACAAUCGAGUACCCUACUUCGCAGAGAAUCAUCGACUUUAUUGCUUUUUCACCGCUUUAAACAGCUUGAAAUAAUGUACUAUGGAAGGAGAAAAAAAAAUAAACGAACGCAUAAAGAAACCGGAGCUACUCCACACAAGCCAGCCGCCAAAAAGCCUGUGAGGAACAGUUUAGGCGUUACGAGAAGCAGACGGUCUAUCGAUCUAAGCGGCAGCCAGCCAUCAGCAGUUGAGGAGUAUGCACAGAGGCGUUGUAAUUCGCCAACCACUCUUCGUCGGCGAUCGGCUCGUCUUGAUACGGGAGAAACUCGUUUGCCGCUUCGUUUAUAGAUGUUGCCGUUCCUUGUAAGACUCUAUACAUUCCAGUUCGUUCUCUACGUCGGUCAACUCAUUUUCCGAUAAUUCUGAAGACUCCGUAUAGCUCAUUGUAACGUUUUCACUCGCGAUUCCUAGACGCCUGGGAGAUUGGUGACUGCGAGACUGACUGCGACACUAAAAGCGCAUAAAUAAUGCAACAGGAUUUUUGCGCCAUGGGCCCGCAAUACAUUUUGCCGGUCAGCGACGGACGUGUUUUACGGUCUCGUGUAUAUCGCAUGUGUUUGAAAAGCUGCAAAAAUAUUCGGGAUUGGAGGAAUUCGAAAUUUUUUUUUUCGGGAAAGUAAGCCUCAGAUAAUGUACAUUUUUUGCCCAAAACGGUCUUACCUUUCCCUGGAGCAGCACUUUA